AACCUGCUUAAGAAAAUCAAGAUGAAUUCUUGUAGCAUGGGAGAACCUGAAACGCAUCCUUUAACUAGAUGUGACUUACAGUGCUCUUUCCAUCAGCCGAGAGGAUCCCCAUUAGAACCACAGAACACUGAGGAGAAAUCUGCUAAGGUUAAACGCCGCAGAACCAGGCGGGAGCGCAACAGUACCAGGUUUGGUAGGAAUGCUACUGACAGGAUCUCAGAGCAAAGAUCCGCAUGUAGGGGACAACAAAAAAUGUUGCCCCCCUUUUGGAGCUCCCAGCUUAGCCAGUGUGCUAAAUCAAUGCCCUUUCAGGCCAUUAAAGGGACUUGUGUUGCAAAACCUGUGAUCAUAACCCAGAACAGACUCUCACAGCACUUCGGCAUGUUUAACAGAGAGGUGAAAUCAGCUGAUAUAGAGAGAUUGUUGAGUCCCAGAGCUGAGCAAUUGAUAAAUGAGAUAACUCCUAUACAAAGUGAUAUUGGAACGGAGGUGGUAAUAGUAAGAGAGAACAAGUCUUGUAAGUCAUGUGAUGUUAAUCACAAGUGUAUUCCCAAUGAAGAAUUUGCCUGCACUGGAAAGGAUCUGAAUGGAACAAAAGAAGAUUUUACUCCUACAGUAGUAGACAUUGUCCCUAUAUCAACUGAAGAACACUGCGAUGUGGCUAGUGUACAAGAUGUGAAUGCAGGAUCCCAACCUUCUGCUGCAUCUGCGACUGUGGAUUUCAGUCAACAAACUACAGAAAAUGAAACUUUUCAGAGCAAUGCCCCAGUUGCUUUAAAUGAAAAAGAAAAUGUCCCCCCUGUUCCAACAACACAAGUUGAGCCUGGCAAAGAGAAAUUUCUGGUGAAGAAACUGGCCCAAGAGCUUCAAAAACUUCUAGACCUCAAGGCAAUAUUUCCUGGACGAAACUUGAUAAGUGAAACACGCCAGGCGGUUAUUAGGUUACUGCAGGAACAGAAGAAAACGUUGCCAGAUGUAUCUACCUUAGCGCAGCUCAAGAAAUUAGCAACUGGUUGUAACAGAGACGCCAUCCAUGCAGAUUUCAGGAGCAGAGACCAGGAGGAGUUGCAGUACAAAUUGAAAACUAGCGACUGCAGCAGGAGGAGUUCUGACCAGGUUGUUUCUUCCAAAAAGAGGAGAGGACUGGAUCAAACCUUUUUUACCAGCCCCUUUCCUAGUUCUCUGCAUACAGUGUUAAGAAUGGCGAGCACUUCAAUGGCAGAAGAGAGGUUGGCUGAAAGGGAGAGUGUUGAAUUUUUUGUGGAGCCGGAAGAGGUUGAUCAGCACAGCUUCUACCUGACCGCAGUUCAGCCCCACCCUCAUCUUCUCUCAGCAUCUUCCGAGCACAUGACUUCAACCAGAACCUUCUUUGCUUCAGAUGAACAUUGCUCUUUGAGUGAGGCUUUACUCAGAACUGCUCAUCCCAGUGAAAGGCUAGAGAGGUCCGAAGUAGCCAAGAGAGUGUUCUCAAAAGAGAGUAAUUCUAAAAGGCACUGUAUUCCUUUUACUGCCCAUGAUUCUUUGGAUUCAACCAAUCUUAGCAUGAAUGGCCAUGGCUCUGAUCCUUUCCCCUUUACUGAUCUCCAGCAGUAUUCCUAUAAUUAUGAACAAAGCCCAGAUCAAUGGAAUUUACGGGAGGCAGAGACUGCUGCAAUCCUGAACCCAUCCCAGGAACUGCACAGUUCUCUACCACUAGAUAUGGGUCUCGGGCCCACAGAAAGAGCACUCUCUGAAUCGCAGACUUCUUUUGAUGUUUUAAAAAGCAUCUGGAGCCCCCACGUACCUAGUAGAGGGGCCAGACGCCCUGCGUCUCGAGUCCUGAGCUACUCUUGCUUAGCUCAGCAGCCACUCUCAGCCAGAGAGUUGAACUCAGGGCAAAGACAGACAGAAGACUUCUUGCAGUUGUUCAGCGUCAUCCCUCAACAGCACUCCUUCUGUGGGCAAAAUCCUCAGCAAGACAUUUGUGUGCCGAGCAGACACCAACAGGAUGGGAACAGGUUCUCUGUAUUGGCAAACUCCAGACCCUGUUACCAUAAAGUAUCUGGAAAGCAAAGGAGACCCUCAAAUGGUCAGCAGGUCUGGGGACUGAUGGAAGUCCCUGAAAGGAUGCAAGGAAACCGAGAAGGAGGUUCUUUCAGGUCUGGGAAUCAUGAUCUGGAGAGACUGCUCCAGUUGGAAAGAGCACAGCAGCUACAAGCCUUCCAGCAGUUGCCAAUGUCUCAUUUCCCCCCAUCAGAAGCUCUAGAAGAGGACCCAGACUCCUCCCUCUGCAGCUUCCAGGGACAUCUGUUGGGGCAAGCCAGCCCUGAGCCAUGGGCCUUUCCCCGGAUGAAGUUAUACUGA
rnacentral:lncRNA from 1 species